rnacentral:misc_RNA from 1 species
AUUGGACUGAAAUUUUAAGUUACUUGAAUCAGUGGGAUAAUGGAUCACAACUCAUUAUUCUCUUUGUUUUUGUCUUAUGGAAACUCUGGAAGUGCAGGAAUUUCUAUGUGUUUCAUCACCAGCAGCAACCUGUUCAAGAGGCAAUAGCUCUUGCAAUCCAAUCUUUCGAUGAUUUUCAAGUAUCCCAAUAGCCGCUUGAGGAGACAAGGUCCAAUCCUCAGUUACA